rnacentral:rRNA from 1 species
AUGGAUUGCAUGAUCAUUCUUGCAUCGAGGCCACAUUUAAGGACACAUCUUCGCAUCCUCCGCAUUGGCGGCGAUCUUCAUCUUCUUUUUCUCGAGUUCGGCCUUCCUCUCUUCGAGUUUGAGCUUCUUGUAAGCCGCCUCCAUCAACAAUUUGAACCUCCCCGCCUUUUUCUCCUCCUUGAGGUCCGAGCACUCAUAUAUGACUCCUCCUUCUUCGACAAGAUGUCCUCGAACCUCUCCGUCAGCUUGCCCUCCAUGCCUUCUUGCUUCGCCCUCUCCUCCUCUCACUUCUUCCCCCGUAAAAAUCUCCCAACCUUCUUCGGCGGUUCUUGGGUUGGGUCGGUAGGGUCACCAGUUUCUUCCUCGGUGGCUUGGGCGGCGGGGCUAUGA